rnacentral:rRNA from 1 species
UACGAAGGGGGCUAGCGUUGCUCGGAAUCACUGGGCGUAAAGCGCACGUAGGCGGAUUGUUAAGUCAGGGGUGAAAUCCUGGAGCUCAACUCCAGAACUGCCUUUGAUACUGGCGAUCUCGAGUCCGGGAGAGGUGAGUGGAACUCCGAGUGUAGAGGUGAAAAUUCGUAGAUAUUCGGAAGAACACCAGUGGCGAAGGCGGCUCACUGGCCCGGUACUGACGCUGAGGUGCGAAAGCGUGGGGAGCAAACAGG